AUCAAGUAGAGCUGCCACUUUCCUUCCUGUCUCUUUUUCUUUUGGCAAAAGAUAUUCAUUCAUCCAAAAUGAAUGCCUUUGGGUAGGGAGGGCAGUGUUGGAGGCAGUUCUGUCUGACAGGCAAGGCAGUGCCUUCUCGAUGGAGACGGAGCAGAGUGAGCCUGGGGAGGAAGAAUUGUGGAGUGAACCAGGUGUGGUCGUAGUACCUGCCCUGGCAUCUGGAGCGCAGCAGGUCUUAUUUAAAAAGAAGAAGAAAAAAAGAAUGUCUGGACAACAGCUAAGGCAGGCAUCCAGAAAUAGGAACACUUUUCUGUAAGUAUAUAAUAUAAUCAUUCAAUCAAUCACUCACUCACUCAACCAAUAAAAGGGGAAGGAGAAAGGCUAACCCUGCUGGGAACUGUGAUGUAGCAGGUU
rnacentral:lncRNA from 10 species